GGAGAGUUACACGUGGGUUACCUACCCCUGGAUCCGGGAUAGCGGCGGGAAACUGCCGGUAAUACCGGAUAAUGUCUCCGGACCAAAGGUGAGAUUCCGUCCGGGGAGGGGCCCGCGUCCUAUUAGCUUGUUGGUGGGGUAAUGGCCUACCAAGGCAAAGAUGGGUACCGGGUGUGAGAGCAUGGCCAGGCUCACUGGGACUGAGACACUGCCCAGACACCUACGGGUGGCUGCAGUCGAGAAUCUUCGGCAAUGGGCGCAAGCCUGACCGAGCGACGCCGCGUGCGGGAUGAAGGCCUUCGGGUUGUAAACCGCUGUCAGAGAGGCGGAAAUGCAUAGGGGUUCUCCCCUAUGUUUGACCUAUUCUCAGAGGAAGUCCGGGCUAAGUUCGUGCCAGCAGCCGCGGUAAUACGAACCGGACGAACGUUAUUCGGAGUCACUGGGCUUAAAGAGUA
rnacentral:rRNA from 1 species